rnacentral:rRNA from 1 species
AUUGAACGCUGGCGGCAGGCCUAACACAUGCUAGUCGAGCGGAGCGGCGGACGGGUGAGUAAUACCUAGGAAUCUGCCUGGUAGUGGAGGAUAACGUCAGGAAACGGGCGCUAAUACCGCAUCCUAUCAGAUGAGCCUAGGUCGGAUUAGCUAGUUGGUGGUUUAAAGGCCUACCAAGGCGACGAUCCGUAACUGGUCUGAGAGGAUGAUCAGUCACCCUGGACCUGAGACACGGUCCAGCGUCCUACGUGAGGAAGCAGUGGGGAAUAUUGGACAAUGGGCGAAAGCCUGAUCCAGCCAUGCCGAGUGUGUGAAGAAGGUCUUCGGAUUGUAAAGCACUUUAAGUUGGGAGGCGUUACCAACAGAAUAAGCACCGGCUAACUUCGUGCCAGCAGCCGCGGUAAUAC